rnacentral:rRNA from 1 species
UGAGGAAUAUUGGUCAAUGGACGAGAGUCUGAACCAGCCAAGUAGCGUGAAGGAUGACUGCCCUAUGGGUUGUAAACUUCUUUUAUAUGGGAAUAAAGUUCAGUAUGUAUACUGUUUUGUAUGUACCAUAUGAAUAAGGAUCGGCUAACUCCGUGCCAGCAGCCGCGGUAAUACGGAGGAUCCGAGCGUUAUCCGGAUUUAUUGGGUUUAAAGGGAGCGUAGGCGGACGCUUAAGUCAGUUGUGAAAGUUUGCGGCUCAACCGUAAAAUUGCAGUUGAUACUGGGUGUCUUGAGUGCAGCAGAGGUAGGCGGAAUUCGUGGUGUAGCGGUGAAAUGCUUAGAUAUCACGAAGAACUCCGAUUGCGAAGGCAGCUUACUGGACUGUAACUGACGCUGAUGCUCGAAAGUGUGGGUAUCAAACAGG